GGCAGUGUAGCGUAAUGGCUAAGGAACUGGCCUUGUAACCUAAAGGUCGCAGGUUCGAUUCCUGGAUAAGACACUGCCG
rnacentral:tRNA from 1 species